rnacentral:lncRNA from 1 species
UAAUUUUGAUCAAUAUUUUGGGAUGAAUUAAUAAUCUGUCUCUAAAAGUACAUUAUUAUGAUGAGAUUAUAUGUCGGUCCUUAAUAUUGCAUUUUAUUAUGAAGGUAUAAAAUUUGGUCCCUAAAAUAUUUUUUACCAAUCGCAAAUUGUAAUUCAGAGCCUUGAGCGGGAGAAAGUACCGCCAAAAUAUAAUAUUAAAAUUUUAAUAAUAUCUUUUAUUUCACUAAAUAUAUACUUAUGCGCCUAAAACCUUUUUUAAUUUUAAUUUUCUGAAAAAUGUAAAAAGCACUGUUUUUCUCAAACAACUGGUCACAAAUUUACCCUAGCUUGAUCAUAAUGUACGCACAGAUAUUUGCUGAGAUGCACGAGGAGUGAGGGAGCAGCUUUGUCAAUUGCAUAUGCAGCUUUGCCAAUUGUGGAAGGUUUUAUUCUACACGAUUGUGGCUUCUUCUGUGGGUUAUUGCACAUAAGCCCAAAUCUCUGUUCAUCUCUCUGGAACGUGAAUUCGAGUAUGCUUUCUAUUCCAUCGACUAGCUCUUUUUGUUUAAAAAUUGUUCUAAAUUCAUUUUAUUGCUUGAUUGUUCGAGCUACUCUUAUUCUUUGUAUUCUCGGUAUAGAAUCUGUCUUUUUUUUUUAAUUUGUACAAUUCGAUAAUUUACUAUGAAAUUUAUCAAUUUGUGGAUGGUCAAUUAUCGUCGCUCUACCUUCACAAAGUAGGGGUAAGGUCAAUUAUCGUCUAGCUACGAAUAGCGGGUGGGGUACAACAGAGCCUUAGCUUUUUAAAACUAUGAGGGUGUGGUGUGGGGGCCGAGCCUUCAUAUUUGUUUGCUUGCUGUAUACUUUUAAAAUUUGGUUAUUUUGUGACAUAUCUACAGAUCUAAGGUCCAGAGUAGACAAUAUUCCCAUCCACUGUAAUCUGAUUAGUUCUUGAAGAUAUCGUCUAUUGUUGUUGAUGCUGAUAUUGUUGCUCUUAUUGGCUAUCUUUUCUUCCUCUUUUCCUGAGUUUGUCAUUGAUCUGGGAAGUGUGAUAUGUAUGGGUUAUACUUUUUUAGCCACUAUUUGAUAUAUUAGUUUUUGAAUUGUUUGUUGAAUUCUUAUAACCGCUUGUACUAAUAUGCUGAAUGACAAAUCUAGUGACACGGUUAUGGAUAGGUUGUUGUCCCGUGUUGGAAUAGAGUCAAGUUGUCCUGUUGAGUGAGAAGUCCUGUUUAGUAAGGAAUCCAUUGACAGUAUUUUUGACACUAUAUAAAAAUUUUUUAGAACUUCCCAAGUAGCAUUUCCGAUAUAAUCAUAGGCUCCUUUGUUUCUUUUAUCUUCUUAUAUCUAGAAGCCCAGACUGUUUCGCUUUCUCCAGAUACUCCAGAACACAUCUAAAGGUGGGAGCAUCCCCUACCAUUAAUCUACCUAUUUCUCUCUUCAUUUCUUACCUUUUAUCCGCAACUUUAGGUGGGCAUUAGGCGAGCUCCCCGGACACAUUUACGGGAAACGUCGUAUUGGUUAGGGGUAUUAGUUAGUUCCGGGAUUAUUUAUCCCAUCAUUUGUAUUAAAAUAAUGGAAUAAGUUAACUCAUCGCCCAUACCAGACAACCCCUUACACUGAACACAUGCAAGUGUCUAUGUGUUCACAUGGUCAUCGUUAUGAAUCAUCUGAACCUAGGGUAAGGUUUUAAUAAAAUUUAGCUCUAGG